UUCCGCCAGUAGCAUAUGCUUGUCUCAAAGAUUAAGCCAUGCAUGUCUAAGUACACGCCUUUACACGGCAAAACUGCGAAUGGCUCAUUAAAUCAGUUAUGGUUCCUUAGAUCGUACAAUCCUACUUGGAUAACUGUGGCAAUUCUAGAGCUAAUACAUGCAACACAGCUCCGACCUUGCGGGAAGAGCGCUUUUGUUAGCCCAAAACCAAUCCGGUCCUCGUGGCCGGUCCUUGAAUGGUGACUCUGAACAACUUUGUGCCGAUCGUAUGCCCUAGCGGCGACGACGUAUCUUUCAAAUGUCUGCCCUAUCAACUGUCGAUGGUACGUGCUAUGCCUACCAUGGUGAUAACGGGUAACGGGGAAUCAGGGUUCGAUUCCGGAGAGGGAGCAUGAGAUACGGCUACCACAUCCAAGGAAGGCAGCAGGCGCGCAAAUUACCCACUCCCGACACGGGGAGGUAGUGACGAAAAAUAACAAUACGGGACUCUUUCGAGGCCCCGUAAUUGGAAUGAGUACACUUUAAAUCCUUUAACGAGGAUCCAUUGGAGGGCAAGU
rnacentral:rRNA from 2 species